GGGACACGUGGUAUCCUGUCUGAAUAUGGGGGGACCAUCCUCCAAGGCUAAAUACUCCUGACUGACCGAUAGUGAACCAGUACCGUGAGGGAAAGGCGAAAAGAACCCCGGCGAGGGGAGUGAAAAAGAACCUGAAACCGUGUACGUACAAGCAGUGGGAGCCUCUUAAUGGGGUGACUGCGUACCUUUUGUAUAAUGGGUCAGCGACUUAUAUUCUGUAGCAAGGUUAACCGAAUAGGGGAGCCGAAGGGAAACCGAGUCUUAACUGGGCGUUAAGUUGCAGGGUAUAGACCCGAAACCCGGUGAUCUAGCCAUGGGCAGGUUGAAGGUUGGGUAACACUAACUGGAGGACCGAACCGACUAAUGUUGAAAAAUUAGCGGAUGACUUGUGGCUGGGGGUGAAAGGCCAAUCAAACCGGGAGAUAGCUGGUUCUCCCCGAAAGCUAUUUAGGUAGCGCCUCGUGAAUUCAUCUCCGGGGGUAGAGCACUGUUUCGGCAAGGGGGUCAUCCCGACUUACCAACCCGAUGCAAACUGCGAAUACCGGAGAAUGUUAUCACGGGAGACACACGGCGGGUGCUAACGUCCGUCGUGAAGAGGGAAACAACCCAGACCGCCAGCUAAGGUCCCAAAGUCAUGGUUAAGUGGGAAACGAUGUGGGAAGGCCCAGACAGCCAGGAUGUUGGCUUAGAAGCAGCCAUCAUUUAAAGAAAGCGUAAUAGCUCACUGGUCGAGUCGGCCUGCGCGGAAGAUGUAACGGGGCUAAACCAUGCACCGAAGCUGCGGCAGCGACGCUUAUGCGUUGUUGGGUAGGGGAGCGUUCUGUAAGCCUGUGAAGGUGUGCUGUGAGGCAUGCUGGAGGUAUCAGAAGUGCGAAUGCUGACAUAAGUAACGAUAAAGCGGGUGAAAAGCCCGCUCGCCGGAAGACCAAGGGUUCCUGUCCAACGUUAAUCGGGGCAGGGUGAGUCGACCCCUAAGGCGAGGCCGAAAGGCGUAGUCGAUGGGAAACAGGUUAAUAUUCCUGUACUUGGUGUUACUGCGAAGGGGGGGACGGAGAAGGCUAUGUUGGCCGGGCGACGGUUGUCCCGGUUUAAGCGUGUAGGCUGGUUUUCCAGGCAAAUCCGGAAAACCAAGGCUGAGGCGUGAUGACGAGGCACUACGGUGCUGAAGCGACAAAUGCCCUGCUUCCAGGAAAAGCCUCUAAGCAUCAGGUAACAUCAAAUCGUACCCCAAACCGACACAGGUGGUCAGGUAGAGAAUACCAAGGCGCUUGAGAGAACUCGGGUGAAGGAACUAGGCAAAAUGGUGCCGUAACUUCGGGAGAAGGCACGCUGAUAUGUAGGUGAAGCGACUUGCUCGUGGAGCUGAAAUCAGUCGAAGAUACCAGCUGGCUGCAACUGUUUAUUAAAAACACAGCACUGUGCAAACACGAAAGUGGACGUAUACGGUGUGACGCCUGCCCGGUGCCGGAAGGUUAAUUGAUGGGGUUAGCGGCAACGCGAAGCUCUUGAUCGAAGCCCCGGUAAACGGCGGCCGUAACUAUAACGGUCCUAAGGUAGCGAAAUUCCUUGUCGGGUAAGUUCCGACCUGCACGAAUGGCGUAAUGAUGGCCAGGCUGUCUCCACCCGAGACUCAGUGAAAUUGAACUCGCUGUGAAGAUGCAGUGUACCCGCGGCAAGACGGAAAGACCCCGUGAACCUUUACUAUAGCUUGACACUGAACAUUGAGCCUUGAUGUGUAGGAUAGGUGGGAGGCUUUGAAGUGUGGACGCCAGUCUGCAUGGAGCCGACCUUGAAAUACCACCCUUUAAUGUUUGAUGUUCUAACGUUGGCCCCUAAUCGGGGUUGCGGACAGUGUCUGGUGGGUAGUUUGACUGGGGCGGUCUCCUCCUAAAGAGUAACGGAGGAGCACGAAGGUUGGCUAAUCCUGGUCGGACAUCAGGAGGUUAGUGCAAUGGCAUAAGCCAGCUUGACUGCGAGCGUGACGGCGCGAGCAGGUGCGAAAGCAGGUCAUAGUGAUCCGGUGGUUCUGAAUGGAAGGGCCAUCGCUCAACGGAUAAAAGGUACUCCGGGGAUAACAGGCUGAUACCGCCCAAGAGUUCAUAUCGACGGCGGUGUUUGGCACCUCGAUGUCGGCUCAUCACAUCCUGGGGCUGAAGUAGGUCCCAAGGGUAUGGCUGUUCGCCAUUUAAAGUGGUACGCGAGCUGGGUUUAGAACGUCGUGAGACAGUUCGGUCCCUAUCUGCCGUG
rnacentral:rRNA from 1 species